UGAAAUAUCUAAGUACCCGGAGGAAAAGAAAUCAACAGAGAUUCCCUUAGUAGCGACGAGCGAACGGGGACCAGCCCUUAAGCUUAUGAUUUGUUAGUGGAAGUUUCUGGAAAGUUACGCGAUACAGGGUGAUAGCCCCGUACACGAAAACAAUUUGUAAGUGAAAUCGAGUAGGACGGGGCACGUGAAACCUUGUCUGAACUGUUCUUCUUUCGGGAAGACGAGGGGGGACCAUCCUCCAAGGCUAA
rnacentral:rRNA from 1 species